rnacentral:rRNA from 1 species
UAACACGGGGGGAGCAAGCGUUGUUCGGAAUCACUGGGCGUAAAGGGCGUGUAGGCGGUCAAGUAAGUGGGACGUGAAAGCCCCCGGCUCACCCGGGGAUCUGCAUCCCAAACUGCUUGGCUUGAGUAUGGGAGAGGAUAGGGGAAUUCCUGGUGUAGCGGUGAAAUGCGUAGAUAUCAGGAGGAACACCGGUGGCGAAGGCGCCUAUCUGGCCCAAUACUGACGCUGAGGCGCGAAAGCUAGGGGAGCAAACGGGAUUAGAUACCCCGGUAGUCCUAGCCGUAAACGGUGAGCACUAGGUGUUGGAGGCAUCGACCCCUCCAGUGCCGCAGCUAACGCACUAAGUGCUCCGCCUGGGGAGUACGGCCGCAAGGUUG